UACGGGGGGGGCAAGCGUUGUUCGGAAUUACUGGGCGUAAAGGGUUCGUAGGUGGCCAACUAAGUCAGACGUGAAAUCCCUGGGCUCAACCCAGGAACUGCGUCCGAUACUGGUUGGCUUGAAUCCGGGAGAGGGAUGUGGAAUUCCAGGUGUAGCGGUGAAAUGCGUAGAUAUCUGGAGGAACACCGGUGGCGAAGGCGACAUCCUGGACCGGUAUUGACGCUGAGGCGCGAAAGCCAGGGGAGCAAACGGG
rnacentral:rRNA from 1 species